rnacentral:rRNA from 1 species
UACGGGAGAAAGUGGGGGACCGCAAGGCCUCACGCAGAUAGAUGAGCCGAUGUCGGAUUAGCUAGUUGGCGGGGUAAUGGCCCACCAAGGCGACGAUCCGUAGCUGGUCUGAGAGGAUGAUCAGCCACACUGGAACUGAGACACGGUCCAGACUCCUACGGGAGGCAGCAGUGGGGAAUAUUGGACAAUGGGCGCAAGCCUGAUCCAGCCAUGCCGCGUGGGUGAAGAAGGCCUUCGGGUUGUAAAGCCCUUUUGUCCGGAAAGAAAAGUUCUGGGUUAAUAACCCAGGAUCAUGACGGUACCGGAAGAAUAA